CGGUGUUCAACUGGCGUGCCCGCGGGACGUCCUGCCGGUGAGCUCAGCCCGCGAGGGCGGCUCAACUUGAAAUCCCAUCGCGGUGCUCUUCAUUGAGUGUCGAGGUGGGCCGGCACGAUUACUUUUGAACAAAUUAGAGUGCUUAAAGCAGGCUAAAAUUUUGCCUGAAUACUGUGUAUAUGGAAUAAUGGAAUAGGACCUCGGUUCUAUUUUGUUGGUUUUCGGAACCCCGAGGUAAUGAUUAAUAGGAACGGAUGGGGGCAUUCGUAUUGCGACGUUAGAGGUGAAAUUCUUGGAUCGUCGCAAGACGGACUAAAGCGAAAGCAUUUGCCAAAAACGCUUUCAUUGAUCAAGAACGAAAGUUAGAGGUUCGAAGGCGAUCAGAUACCGCCCUAGUUCUAACCAUAAACUAUGCCAGCUAGCGAUCCGCCGACGUCCCUCUGAUGACUCGGGCGGGCAGCUUCCGGGAAACCAAAGCUUUUGGGUUCCGGGGGAAGUAUGGUUGCAAAGCUGAAACUUAAAGGAAUUGACGGAAGGGCACCACCAGGAGUGGAGCCUGCGGCUUAAUUUGACUCAACACGGGAAACCUCACCAGGCCCAGACACUGGAAGGAUUGACAGAUUGAGAGCUCUUUCUUGAUUCAGUGGGUGGUGGUGCAUGGCCCGUUCUUAGUCGGUGGAGCGAUUUGUCAGGUUAAUUCCGAUAACGGACGAGACUCUGACCUGAUAACUAGACGCACUUGCGGCAUCUCAAAGGUCCGCCGGCGGCUGGCUUUGCGCCCGUCGUCGCGCGCGAUUUUUACUGCCGGCGUACAAUAAAUUCUUCUUAGAGGGACAAGUGG
rnacentral:rRNA from 1 species